GGAGACAGAAUCUGAAGCAGUCUCUAGGCUCUGACCUGUCAGCACAGAGCCCAACGCGGGGCUUGAACUCAUGAACUGUGAUAUCAGGACUUCAGCCAGAGUUGGAUGCCCAACCAAUGGAGUUACCCAGGCGCCCCUGAUCCUUUGUAUUUCUGUGCUGGGGGUUGUCAUAUCUCUUAUUUCUGAUUUUGAGUAUUUUCUUCCUGAGUCUAGAUCAAGUUUUGUCAACUUUAUCUUGUCAAAACACCAGCUCUUAGUUUCAUUGAUCUUUUUUUAUUUUUUCUGAUACCUAUUUAUCUCCACUCCAGUCUUCUGCUAUUUCCUUCCUUAUGAUAGACUUGGCCCAGCUUUUUCUUCUUUGCCUCAUUCCUUCAGGUAUAAAAUUAGGCUAGUCAUUUGACAUCUAUUUUUUUUUACGUAUUUUUUAAUGUUUUAUUUUUGAGAGAGAGCACGAGUCAGGGAGAGGCAGAGAGAGAGGGAGACGCAGAACCUGAAGCAGGCUCCAGGCUCUGCGCUCUCAGCACAGAGCCCAACACAGGGCUCAAAGAUCAUGACCCAAGUCCAAGUUGGAUGCUUAACUGAUUGAGCCACCCAGACGCCCCAAGAUCUAUUUUUCAAAUACAUGCAUUUAUCACUAAAACUUCCCUGCAGGACUGCUUUUGCAGCUUCCCAACGGUUUUAUUGUAUUAUGAUCCAUUUCCAGUUGUUUCAAGAUUUUAAAAUUUUUUUGGUUUCUUUCUCUUUUUUUUUAAUGUUUAUUUAAGAGGGAGAAAGCAUGAGCAGGGAAGGGGCAGAGAGAGAGAGGAUAUCCCAGUCAGGCUGCAUGCUAUCAGCGCAGAGCCCAAAAGCGGGGCUCAAAGUAACAAACCAUGAGAUCAUGACCUGAGCCGAAAUCAAGAGUCGGACACUUAACCAACGGAGCUACCCAGGCACCCCUUUUGUUUAGAUUUCUUAUUUGACCCAUUGGUUGUUCGGGAAUAUUUUGUUUGGUCUCCACAUGUUUAUAAAUAUUCCACCUUCCCUCCUGUUACUGAUUUCUAGUUUUGUAACACUGUGGUUGGAAAAUAGAGUUGGUGUGAUUUCAGUCUUCGUAAAUUUGCUAAGACUUGUUUUGCAGCCUGUCAUAUGACCUGCCCUGGAGAAUGUUCUGUGUGUAUUUGAGAAAAAUGUGCAUUCUGCUGCUGUAGCUAGAAUGUUCUAUAAAUGUCCAUUAGGUCCAUUUGGUCUAAUGUAUGGUUCAAGUCCAAUGUCUCCUUGUUGAUUUUCUGUCUGGAUGAUCUAUAUCCAUGGCCGAAAGUGGGCUAUUAGAGUCUAUUACUAUUGUGUUGUCUUUUUUCCCCUUUCAGAUCUGUUAGCAUUUGUUUAAUACAUGUAGGUGCUCCAGUAAUAAGUGCAUAUAUAUAAUUGUUACAUCUUCUUAAUGAGUUGAUCCCCUUAUCCUUAUGUAAUGAGUUUUGUUGUGUUUUACUGUUGGGGGCUUAAAGUUUAUUUCAUCUGACGUGAGUAGAGCUGCCCUCUCGUCUUGUGGCUUCCACUUCAUGGAAGAGCCCCCUCUUUCCUUCACUUCGAGCCUCUGUGUGUCCUUAAGGCAGGAGCGAGUCUCUUGUGGGUAGCAUGUAGUUGGGUCUUGUUUGUUUUUAAUUCAGCCACCCUGUGCCAAUUCAUUGAAGAAUUCAACCCAUUUACAUUUUGAAUAACCUUUGACAGGUAAGGAUUUUCCUGUGCCAUCUUACUGUUUUCCAGCUGUGUGUGGUUCCAUAGUUCCUUUUCUUCCUGUCUUCUUCCCCACCUUUGUGGACUGGGGAUACUCCAUGGUGGGGUUCCCUUGUCUUUAUCUUUGUGAAGCUCCACUAGGUUUUUGCUUUAUGAUUACAUGAGGCUUACAUAAAACACCUAGUAGAUAAACUGGUCAACUUACACCGGUAGGGACACCUCUGCCCUUUUGCUCCCUCUUUUUAUAUUACUGUCACAUUUUUUUACAUUAAUGUCAUGGUUUACCUCUUUUUGUUUUGAGAAAAAGCAUGUGAGCAGGGGGAGGGGCAGAGGGGGAGAGAGAGAAUCCUAAGCAGGCUCGCACGGGGCUCAGUCCCACAACCAUGGCAUCAUGACCUGAGCCGAAACCAGGAAUCGGAUGCUCAACUGAGUCACCCAGAUGCCCCGUUUACUUCUUUGUGUAUUGUGUAUUAAUUAACAAAUUACAGUAGGUGUAAUUAUUUUUGAUACUUUCGUCCUUUAGCCUUUAUUAACACACUAUCCAAUUACAGAAUUAGAGUUUUCUUCAUCCGACUGUAUAUUUACCAUUUCCAGUGUGUUCCAUAUGUUUGUAUGUUUUUGUGUCACUGAUGAGCAUCCCUUCACCUCGGCUGCAAGAAUUCCUUUCAGCAUUUCUCGUAAGGAGGGUCCAGUGUGAUGAACUCUUCCAGCUUUUGUUUGUCUGGGAACUUUUUAUUUUUUUGCCUUCAUUUCCGAAGGACAGCUUCACUGGAUAGUGUAUUCUUGGCUGGCCUUUUUUUUCUUUCAGCACUGUGAAUGUGUCAUCCACCCUCUCCUGGUCGGUAAGGUUUCUGCUGAGAAAUCCACAGAUCUCCAGUCUGGGUUCCUUUUUAGAUUACUCUUUUUUCCUCUUGUGCUUUCAGGAUUCUACCUUCGAUUUCUGACAGCUUCAUUAUAAUGUGUUUUGGGAGAGAUUGCUUUGCCUUGAAAUAAUGAGAUGAUCUGUUAAUUUCAUGAACUUGAAUGUCCAAGUCUCUUUGCAGGUCUGGGAAGUUCUCAGACAUGAGAUCUCCAAAUAGACCUCCAUCCCCCUUCUUCCUCUCUUGUCCUUCUGGAACCCCAGCGAUACCGGUGGCUCUUUUGAUGGUGUUCCACAGAUGACAUAUGCGCUUAGCUUCUUUUCUUUGUUCUCUGGGCUGUUUCAAAGCUCCUGUCCUAUAUUCACUGAUGGCUUUCUUCUUUCUGGUCUGUUCUGGUGAUAAUACCCUCUCUUUCACCCCUCAUUUCAUUCACUGACUUCUUCAGCUCCAGAAUUUGUUUAGUUCUUUCUCAUGAUUCUCUUUGUUAAAUUUCUCUUUCUGUGUAUGUGUGCUUUUCCUGAUUUCAUUGAAUUUCUUUGUGUUUACUUGUAGCUCAUUAGCUUCCUCAAAAGAGCUAUGUUGAAUUCUUUGUCAUGUAAGUCACAGAUGUCCUCCCUGUCUUUGGGAUCAGUUACUGGAAGAUAAAUGAGGGAUCUUUUGGUGAUGUCAUGUUUCCUUGGUUCUUUAUCUUCCUUUGAGUUUUGUGUUGCUGCUUUCACAUUGAUGUAGCAGUCACCCCUCCGAUCUUUACCAGCUGCCUUCAGUUGGGAGGCACUUUUUGAUGGCCCCGCUAUACAGAUUCUGUGGCUUUCUCCAACCUCCCAUGGAUACACCCGCUCCAUGCUUCCUGAUCCCUCUUGUGGCAGAAUUCCUAAGCUUGUAGGUCUUCCUCUGAUCUUACAACACACCAGACCAACUGUUAGAAACCUCUCUUUUGCUUUAUUGAAGGUGGUGUUACGGCUCAGGACUGCACUUUCCCCCACGCGCUGGCCUGUUUUCCGUGGGUGCUCCCCGUCUACCCGAGCUUGUCUCCUGCUGCCCUGGGAGUGCACACAGGGUGGGGUGGGCGGUGUGAGUUUUGACACUCAGGUGUUGAGGGUGCCCACAGUGCAGUGGAGGGCUCCGAAGAUGAGGUUUUCCCAGGGGCUGUGACAGGCUCUGUGUUGGAGUCCAGAAUGCAGUCAACAGAAACGGCAUCCCUUUAAGGCUCUCUGAUACUAUGACCUCAUCCCUGAUCUCCUUCCUCCAAUCACAAAGCCCCUUUAACGCCCUGGGCAUUGCAAGAGAAAAAUGCGUUUCUUUAGCAGCCUCCUGCAUAGCGGGGGAAGCGAGGCUGUCACCACUGGCCCUUUCCCCUGCAGGAGAGAUGCCACCCGUGUCUCUGAGUUCUGCCACCUUGGGGGAGGGGUGCUGCUGUAAUGUUUUCUUUCCAACAGAAUGCUGAAACUUCUCUAGAAACCUGGGUUGCUACAAAGGCUAUCUCGCCCAUAGGUGGUCUGCCCACGUCAGCAUUAUCCAGCCGCCCCCAGACUGCAGCUGAGAGGGACCAGAGCCGGCUCACAGGGUCCCACCAGUGACAAAGCCUGUACCAUGGUCUGCCUGCCCAUCGCCGAAAGCAUGGUGGUGAGACCCUCCCAGGCAACCUGCGUCAGGUGCUGGAUCACACGGCUCCCACGGACGCACAUAAGUUUGGAGAUGGAAGCUGAAUUUUAGUUAUUGAAGGAAAUACCUUUUUUUAUGUGUAUUUUUUAGAGACCUGGAGUGCAAGUGGGGGAGGGGCAGAGAGAGGGAGACACAGAACCCGAAGCAGGCUGCAGGCUCCGAGCCGUCAGCACAGAGCCUGACGUGGGGCUCGAGCUCACAAACCGUGAGAUCAUGACCUGAGUCGAAGUCGGACGCUUAACCGACCGAGCCAUCUAGGCGCCCCAGUUGUUAAAGGAGCUUAUUGGCAGCUGCCGCAAUGCUGUCGUCACUCUGAUGGACGCUAAUUAAGCUCGCACUAAUCAUUCUGCAAUAUAUGGGCUUCACAUCGUCACCGUACGCCUUAAACUUAGAUUUAAUGUGUCAGUUACGUCUCAAAGUUGGAAAAAGCAAUUUGAACCGGGCUCUUUAAUUCCCAGGUACGUAUAUCUGAGCCGGGAGUCUCCCUUAGGCCCCAAGUGUGUCCAUACUAAUCUGCGGGCUCCCUCCCCAGGUGUGUCCACCCUCGCAUGGCAGGCAGCCUCCCUAACUCAGUGCCUCUUCUGGGAAGUGGACCGCUCUCUCCAGGUGUGUCUCCGACCGGGAAUAUUUCCCCAGCACUCGAGGUGCUCUUGCCCCGAACAGCAGUGUCUAAUUCCCCAGAUGUGUCUCCUUGGACACAAAGAGUCUUGCUAAGUGUACAGGUAGGUCUCCGUGAACCUAGGGCGUCCCCUCUGAGUCGAAGUGAUUCGUUGUCCUCCGGGCGUAUCUACAGCGACCUGAGGUCCACACACUGACAUGGCAUGUUUCCCUAAUUUCCCAGGUGUGUCUCCUCUGCCCUGGAUACUUCUCUCUCUGAGCUUAUUUACCCCAAGGGGAAACCGCCUAGCUCCCCGGGUUUAUCUAAUCUGUGACCUGCUGAUAAUGCAGACGUGCCUAUCCUUACAUAAGAUGUCUCCCUAAUACCCCAAGUAGGUCUACACACCGUUAGGAUGUCUCCUUAAAUCCCAGUGUGUUUUCUCUGGCAACCCUGGAUGUCUCUGUAAUUGUCCAGGUACAUCUCCAUUGAACUGGGAUGUCUCCCUUCUAGCCAGAUGCCUGCUCUACCUGGGACACCCUAACUCCCCAGGCAUGUAUUGAAGGACCCGGGGGGCCGCCCUAUUUCCCCAGGUGUGUGCCACAGCCUGAUUCCAAUUUCCCAGGUAUGUGUCCCCUGACCCGGGACAUCUCUUUACUUCCGUCGAUCUGUCCACCCAGACGUGGGAUGUGUGCCUAACUCGAGUGUGUCUGCUCUGAACUGGGAUGUCUACCUACUUCCAUAGUGGAGUCUGUUUUGAUCUUGAUGUUUCCUUAAUUCUGCAUUAUGUGUCUAACUUGACCUGGAUGUCUCCGCAAUUCCCCUUUUGUGUCUUCACCGAACUAGAUUUCUAAUGCCCCAGGUUUAUCUACCCAGACAUGAAAUGCUGCCACCGAUUCCCAGGUGUUUUUCCUCUGACCUAGGAUAUGUUCCUUACUCUCCAGGUUGGCUUUCCCUUACCGGGAUGUCUCCCUAGUCCCCACGUGUACGUGCUCACACCUGGGCUCUCUCUUACUUCCCGAGUGCACACACUGAUCUGUCUGCCGAAUUCCAUAGGUGUUGACCCUGACCUGAGACGUUUCUCUUAUUCCAUGGAUGUGUUUUCUGUCUUGCGAUUUCUUGCUAAUUCCCUGAUGUGUUUACCAUGACUUAGGAUGUUUCUCUAAUUACCCAGAUGCUUCUACUCUGACCUGAGUGUCUCCCUAAUCCCCAGAUAUGAAUACUCUGACUUCCAAUGUCUCAAAAUAACCCAGAGUUCUACCCUGACCUGGGAUGUCCUGCUAGUUCCCCGGAGUCAGAAGAUAAUUCUCCAAAUGUGCCAACGGUCAAGUGGAAUGCUUCUUAUUCCCCAUGGGAAUGGGAUGCACUGACAUGGGAUGUCUCAUUAGAACCCCAAGGAACUCAGACUAUGAGAUCAUGACCUGUGCCGAAUUCGGAUGCCGAACGAGCUGACCCACUCAGGCGCCCCGGUUGUUAAAGGAGGGAAGUCUCGGAGCAGGUCGGGUACCUUGUGCGGAGCAGGUGAGAGCUGAUUGGCUGACCUAGGCCUUCCUCUUCAGGGAGAGCAGAGCAUAGAAACUUCUCCAGGUUUGACUGCCCUGACGUUGGAAGUCUGCCAAUUUUCCCGUGGGUCUACACUGAUCAAGGAUAUUCCCCUAAAUCUCUAGGUAUGUCUACUCUGACCUGGGAGGUGACCCUUAUUCUGUAUGUACCCUGAUCAAUGAGGUCUUUGAAAUACAGAGACCUGUGGGGUUUCUCUAAUUCUCUGAGUGUGCCUACUCUGGUACGCAUUCAGAGAUGUAUCCCUAAUCCUGUGUGUGAACCCUGAAAGGUGGUGUCCCCCAAUCACCCAGGGGUGCCCUCCCUGAUUUUAUCUCUCUCUUUAAUAACCAGAAGUGUCUUCUCUGACCUGAGAUAUACCUUAUCAUCAAUUGUGACUGACCUGGGAUGUGUCCCUAAUUCACCACGUGUGUCUUCAGUGACAUUGGAUAGCCCCCUAACUCCCCAGGUGUUUCUACCCUGACCUGAAAUGUUUUCUUUGUUCUCCAAGUGUGUCUACCCUAAACUCGUAUUAUCUCUGAAAAUUCCUGUAUCUUCUCUGACCUGGUCCAUCCCCUUAGAGCCCAGUUGUGUCCACAUGGGCACGAGUGAAUCUCUAAUCCCAGAUGUUUCUGUCGUGACCUGGUUUGUCUCGCUCUUUAGGUGUUGACCUGGGAUGUGUAAUUCCUCCUCCGUGUGUCCACUGACUUGAGAGGUCUCGUGUUUAUUGGUACCACUCUGGAAGUCCCCUCUCUGCUCUGUUGUAUUCUGACGCAGCACGUCUGCUUACUUCCCCAAGUCCACCCACCCUGACCUUCAGGGUCUCCACGACUCCUGAGAUGUUAUCUCAGCUCACCUGGACCGCUGACUAGUUCCCCAGAUGUGUCUACAAAAAGCGGUAUUUUAUUGUAAUAUACCAGUUAUGUCUACGCUGACCUGAGCGGUCUUAAUUCCCCAAGUGUGUCAACACUAACCUAGUAUGAUUCCAUAGAUUCCCAGCUGUGUCUGCCUCGACAUUGGAUGUCUCCACUUGACCUGCUGUGACUACCUAGUAUCUCAGGCAUGUCCACUCUGACCCGGAACAUCUAACACCUCAGGUGUGGCCACUUUGCCCUGGAGCCUCCCUGGUUCCCCAGUUGUGCCUGCCGUAAUCUGAGACGUCAAACUCAGACGUGUCUACUCAUACCUGGGAUGUCUAAUCCACAGAUGUGUCCACGCUGAACAGGGAUGGCUUCCUAAAACCCCAGCUGUGUCUAUCCUGACCCGGGAUGUGUCCCAAAUUUUCAAGGAGUGUCUGCUCUGAGCUGGGAUGUCUCAUUCUCCAGAUUUCUCUCUCUGGACCUUGAACGUCUCCAUUCUUCAGGACUGUCCAGCGUAUCCUGGGACGUAUGCCUUUGUCCUUCGCCGUGUCUACUGUGAAUCUGGAGGUCUCGUUCCUCAGGUGUUCUGAUCUGUGAUGUCUCUAAGUCCCCAGGCGUGUCUGCAUUGAUUACAGUGACCCUUUAAUGCACCAGGUAUGUCUACCCUUACCGGGAUAUCUGUUUAAUAACUCAGAUGUGUCUACACAGAUGGGGCAUGUCUACUUUCUUACAAAAGGUCUUGAAUUCUCUGGCUCUGUCUACUCUGACCCGGAAUGUCUCCCUGUUUACCCUGCUGUAUGUCAGCCAAACCUCGAUGCCUCCUUAAUAAUCAGCUGUGUGAACAUGUACCUGCAUAGCUUUUCCCCUGCUCUUAUCUGAACUCUACCCAGGAGGGUCUGCACUUGAGGAUGUCUACCUAAUUUCCCAUGUGGCUCUUCUGACCUUUGUUGUAACCUUAUUCUCUGCUAUGUCCACACUCACAUGGGGUGUCUUCAUAAUUCUCAAGAUGAGUUAAGUAUUUCUCAGGAUGGUCCCUACAUCCCCGGUCUGCCUCCCCUGACCUAGAAUUUCUCUCGAAGCCCCAACAUUACUCCUCCUACUCCCCUCAUGUGUCUACUUGACCAGUAAUGUCUCCCUGCAACACAGAUGUGUCUACUCUGACCUCGUGGAUCUGCCUAACUCCCCUGGUGUGUCUAUACUGAUGGGAUGUCUAAUUCUCAAAGUGCUUCUAUACUAAUCUGGGAUUUUGACCUGAUUCCCUUGGUGGGUCUAUCUACUGAAGAAUACCUACAGUUACAUAAGAAUCUGUUACCACUUUUACAUUGUGGGUUUUUAAUGUUUAUUUUGUGUGCACACAGGCAGGGCAGCAGGGGUGGGGGGCGGGCAGAGAGACUCCCAAGCAGGCUCCAUGCUGUCAGCACAGAGCCCAACGCCGGGCUCGAUCCCAUGACCCUGGGAUCAUGACCCAAGCUGAAAUCCAGAGUCAGACGUUCAAUAGGCUGAGCCACCCAGGCGCCCCGUCAUGUUGUGCCUACAUACGUAACUCAGAAAAAAAAUUAAAACCCAAUUGCACAUUAUAAAAAACAAUGCAGAUUGACUUGUAAAAGUAAAAACAAUCUCAUUAUAACCAAUUUGAUCUUUCCAGGUGGUUAAACUUGGGCAAAUGGGAAUCUUGGAUUUGGGGUAUUUUCCAGACAUUUGAUAUUAUCCUCCUGUUUCUUGUGUUAAUACCCGUUAUUGUGUAUCUUUUCCAGAGUCUUCAGUAAACACUAAUCGUGAUCUCCAUGCGAGCUGAAGAACCUAAUGAGAUUCUGGUUCACGAUCUUCAGUGUCCAAAGAAGGGUCACAUGAUGCUAAACAGUCAGCCACUCUCCGUUCAACAGGGAGAGUGAUCGACGGGAAGGGACUGGACUGGUUUUUAUGUUAAUGUUUAUUUUUAAGAGAGGUGCAGAGAGAGAGGAGGACAGAG